GGGAUUACAGACUUAAAUGUAAGGCCUCAAACUAUAAAAAUCCUAAAAGAAAACCUAGGAAAUACUCUUCUGGACAUUGACCUAGGUAACUAAUUUAUGAUACGAUCUCAAAAGCAAACACACAUGCACACACACACAAAAUUCACACUAGGACCUAAUUAAACUAAAGAGCUUCUCAGUAGCAAAAGAAGCCAUCAACAGAGUACACAUAUAACUUACAGAAUGGGAGAAAAUAUUUGUCUGAUGGUUAAUACUGAAUGUCAACUUGAUUGGGUUGAAGGAUGCAAAGUAUUUUUCCUGGGUGUGUUUGUGAGGGUGUUGCCAAAGGAGAUUAACAUUUUAGUCAAUGGACUGGGAGAGGCAGACAGACCCUCAAUCUGGGAGGGCGCCAUCUAAUCAGCUGUCAGUAUGGCUAGCAUAAAAGCAGCCAGAGGAACAGGGAAGGACUAGAUUGGCUGAGUCUUCUGGCCUCCAUCUUUCUCCCAUGCUUCCUGCCCUCAAACAUGGGACGCUAAGUUCUUCAGCUUUUGGACUCUUGGACCUACACCAGUGAUUUAUAGGUGCUCUCAGGCCUUCAGCCAUAGACUUAAGGUUGUGCGCUCUGCUUCCCUACUUUUGAGAUUUUGGUACUUGGACUGGCUUCCUUUCUCCUCAACUUGCUUAUGGCCUAUUACGGGACUUCAUCUCAUGAUCAUGAAUUGGCUUAUGCUAUUUACAGAAGCUGAAAAGUCUCAUGACUUGCUGUCUGCAAGCUGGUAGUGUAACAUCCAGUCUCAGUCCAAAGGCCUGAGAAGGCAGCAAGCGUGGCUAAAUCUGAAGACUGGAAAACCAGAAGUGCCAAUGUUGCAAGAAGGAGAAGAGGGAUGCCUCCACUCAAGCUGAGUUAGCAAAUUCACCUUUCCUUCACCUAUUUGUUCUGUUUGGGACCUCCACAGUUUGGAUGAUGCUCACCCACAUUGUGUUGACAGCGUCUUCACCAGGAGGAGAUUCCAUCUGAAGAAACCACUUUCUUUGCUCAUCCAUAAUAAGCAGCUCCUCAUCCCUUCAAGUUUUAGCAUGAGAUUGCAGCAAUUCAGUCCUAUCUUUAGGCUCUGCUACUAGUUCUCUUGCUAUUUCCACUUCACUUGCAGUUUCUUCCCACACUAAAGCCUUAAAACCCUCAAAGUCAUCCAUGAGGAUUGAAAUCAACUUUGUUCAAACCCUAUUCAUGUUGCUACUGUGACCUUCUCCUAUGAAACAUGAAUGUUCUUUAAGGGCAUCUAGAAGGGUGAAUCUUUUUCAGAAGGAUUUCAGUUGACUUUACCCAAUCUAUCUGAGAACUCACUACUUACGCCUACUUAGCUUUAUGAGACAUAUUUAUUAACUAAUAAGACUUGAAAGUAAAAAUUACUCCUUUAUCGAUGGACUGCACAAUGGAUAUUGUGUUAACAGGCAUGAAAAUGUCUAAUUACUUUAUACAUCUCCAUAAGGCUCUUGGGUGACCAGGGGCAUUGUCAGCAAACAGCAUGAUUUUGAAACUAAUCUUUUUAUCUGAGCAGUAGGUUUCAACAGUGGACUUAAAAUAUUUAGUAAACCAAGUUGUAUACAGAUGUUCUAUCAUUAAGAUUUUAUAUAUAUAUAUAUUCUGAUUCUAUAUAUGUUCUGUCUUCAAAAUUCUGUAUAUGUUAUGUUGUCAAGGUUCUCUCUCUCCAUAUAUAUAUAUAUAUAUAUAUACACACACACAUGUGUAAUGUAUAUGUUUUCUUCUUUAUCUGCUGACGUGAGAAAACAAAUGUCAAAUCAUUUUCAGUCAUGAUGCUAAAGGAUCACAAGGAUAGCUAGAUGACACU
rnacentral:lncRNA from 10 species